GACUGUGCAAGCUGAGACGCUGGCGAUUUCAUGGGAUCAAGCCGGAAGAGAAGCUGGGAUUUGAGUUUAUCCCAUGGAUAUGCAGAUGCUGGGAGGAAAACGGAUGAAGGUGCUUAGAUAUGGCUCGGUUCGAUGUUUGAUUUCCUUCGGCUGGGAAGAAUCCGUCGCUGGUGGACGUGGAAGAAGCCUGGUCGCGGAGAAACAGGGGAUUCUAAUAAGGAAGCAAGGCCGGGAGGAAUCCGUGGAUUUGUUGAGAUGCUGCCGUUGGCUGAGAGCUUAUCCGGAAGAUGUUGGGAUGAAGCUAGAUCCUACGCGAACAGUGAAGUGAUGCUGGAUUCGAACUGAAGCAGGGGAUGUUUGGAUGAUUCGGCUGGGAGGAGAUUUUUGGAAUGCAGAAGGGAGAGAGGAAGAUGAGAAGAAAGCCGUUAGGAGGAAUGAAAUCCUGAGGUUUGCUUGGAUAAAGAUGGAUCACGUCCGUGGAUGGGAGAUGAUCCAGAAGAAGCGGGAUGCUGGGAGAUCCGGGAUGCUGGGAGAUCCGGGAUGCAGAGGAGAUGAAGAUGGAGAAGAUACGUGGGGUGCUGGGACGCGUUCACGGACGGAAGGAACGUGGGUUCUGUUUUUAGGCAGGGGGAAAUGAUCCGGAAUGCUGGGAGAUCAUUGCAUGGACUCAUGCGGAUGAAGGGAAACAGAUGUGAUUGAUCGAGUUGUUGGGAACUACUGGAACUUGGCUGGGAUUUUAGUUGAACAAGAUGUGGGGAGUGGAUGGAGCUUUGGGAUUCGUGCAAAUAUGAUGGUAUGCUUUGAGAUCUGAGAGACAAAUAAUUGAAAGAAUUUUAUUGUUUUUGAGAUUAAAAUAGGAGAAUUGGAUCAUGUGGAAAAAGAGUUGGAACGAGUGGGAAGAAAUUUAGGUGAACGUGUGAAGAGUCAGGAAUUAAUGGAAAGCAUUGGGUUUUGGAGAAAAGUUCUUGGAGUCGACUCUGGAGGAUGUAAAAUUGUGAAAUGAUGCAGUGUAGUUUAGGCUUUACCUAAUUAAGCGUGACUUGACCUGCAUACAUUAAGCUCAAUCAGUAAAUAAGUAAAACUCGAAUUACCUUUAAUAAUUUAUUAAAAUGCAAUGAUGAAGGUAACACAAUU
rnacentral:lncRNA from 1 species